rnacentral:rRNA from 1 species
GACAGAGGGUGCAAACGUUGUUCGGAAUUACUGGGCAUAAAGCGCACGUAGGUGGUUCGCUAAGUCGCGUGUGAAAUCCCCCGGCUCAACCGGGGAAAUGCGCGUGAUACUGGCGGGCUUGAGAUCGGGAGGGGUGAAUGGAACUCCAGGUGGAGCGGUGAAAUGCGUAGAUAUCUGGAGGAACACCGGUGGCGAAAGCGGUUCAACUGGCCCGACACUGACACUGAGGUGCGAAAGGCUAGGUAGCAAACGGG